AUUGAACGCUGGCGGAAUGCUUUACACAUGCAAGUCGAACGGCAGCACGGACUUCGGUCUGGUGGCGAGUGGCGAACGGGUGAGUAAUACAUCGGAACGUGCCCAGUCGUGGGGGAUGACGUAGCGAAAGCUACGCUAAUACCGCAUACGAUCUAAGGAUGAAAGCGGGGAUCGCAAGACCUCGCGCGAUUGGAGCGGCCGAUGGCAGAUUAGGUAGUUGGUGGGGUAAAGGCUCACCAAGCCGACGAUCUGUAGCUGGUCUGAGAGGACGACCAGCCACACUGGGACUGAGACACGGCCCAGACUCCUACGGGAGGCAGCAGUGGGGAAUUUUGGACAAUGGGCGCAAGCCUGAUCCAGCCAUUCCGCGUGCAGGAUGAAGGCCCUCGGGUUGUAAACUGCUUUUGUACGGAACGAAAAGGCUCUGGUUAAUACCCGGGGCUCAUGACGGUACCGUAAGAAUAAGCACCGGCUAACUACGUGCCAGCCGCCGCCGUAA
rnacentral:rRNA from 1 species